UAGGGAAUCUUCGGCAAUGGGGGCAACCCUGACCGAGCAACGCCGCGUGAGUGAAGAAGGUUUUCGGAUCGUAAAGCUCUGUUGUAAGAGAAGAACGUGUGUGAGAGUGGAAAGUUCACACAGUGACGGUAACUUACCAGAAAGGGACGGCUAACUACGUGCCAGCAGCCGCGGUAAUACGUAGGUCCCGAGCGUUGUCCGGAUUUAUUGGGCGUAAAGCGAGCGCAGGCGGUUUAAUAAGUCUGAAGUUAAAGGCAGUGGCUUAACCAUUGUUCGCUUUGGAAACUGUUUAACUUGAGUGCAGAAGGGGAGAGUGGAAUUCCAUGUGUAGCGGUGAAAUGCGUAGAUAUAUGGAGGAACACCGGUGGCGAAAGCGGCUCUCUGGUCUGUAACUGACGCUGAGGCUCGAAAGCGUGGGGAGCAAACAGG
rnacentral:rRNA from 1 species